GCGGAUGUAAUUCAGUGGUAGAAUGUCAGCUUCCCAAGCUGAACGUCGCCGGUUCGAAUCCGGUCAUCCGCU
rnacentral:tRNA from 12 species